GGCUCAGGAUGAACGCUAGCUACAGGCUUAACACAUGCAAGUCGAGGGGCAGCAUGAAGUCAGCUUGCUGACUUUGAUGGCGACCGGCGCACGGGUGAGUAACGCGUAUCCAACCUUCCCUUACUCAGGAAUAGCCCGUUGAAAGACGGAUUAAUACCUGAUGGUGUUUGAAUUCCGCAUGUUAUUCAAACUAAAGAUUUAUCGGUAACGGAUGGGGAUGCGUGACAUUAGAUAGUAGGCGGGGUAACGGCCCACCUAGUCUACGAUGUCUAGGGGUUCUGAGAGGAAGGUCCCCCACACUGGAACUGAGACACGGUCCAGACUCCUACGGGAGGCAGCAGUGAGGAAUAUUGGUCAAUGGUCGGAAGACUGAACCAGCCAAGUAGCGUGAAGGAUGAAGGUUCUAUGGAUUGUAAACUUCUUUUAUACGGGAAUAAAACCUCCCACGUGUGGGAGCUUGUAUGUACCGUAUGAAUAAGCAUCGGCUAACUCCGUG
rnacentral:rRNA from 1 species